rnacentral:rRNA from 1 species
AUUGUACGCUGGCGGCAGGCCUAACACAUGCAAGUCGAACGGUAGCAGGGAGCUGCUUGCUGCUUUCCUGACGGGUGGCGUACGUGAUGGCAAGGACUGGGCAUCGUCGUGGGGGAUGGGGUUAGCUACUGGGAGCUGUUGCUAAUACCGCAUUGCGGGGGAAGACGAGGGAGCGUCGGCUCCGACCCUCUCAGCAUCGCCUAGGUCGGAUUAGGUAGAUGGUGGGGUAAAGGCACACCCAGGCGACGAUCCCUAACUGGUCUGAGAGGAUGAUCAGUCACACUGGAACUGAGACACGGUCCAGACUCCUACGGGAGGCAGCAGUGGGGAAUAUUGGACAAUGGGCGAAAGCCUGAUCCAGCCAUGCCGCGUGUAUGAAGAAGGUCUUCGGAUUGUAAAGCACUUUAAGUGGGGAGGAAGGGCAGUAAGUUAAUACCUUGCCUCAUUGACGUUACCAACAGAAGAAGCACCGGCUAACUUCGUG